CCAGCCUUAAAAGGUUAAGUAGUUUGCCUGAAAUCAUAGUACUAGUUAAUGAUGAUACUAGGAUUUGAACUCAGGUUGUCUAGCUCCAAAUACCAUGAAUGAGUGUACUGCUUCCUUAGACUGUGGUGUCUAGUCCUAGAACCAGACCUGCCGCCUCCUCUUAGGAUGACCACGGACAAGACAGAGAUGUCUUCUACAAAGGAAAGUUAGAACAAAGCAAAUAAAAUAAAAACUAAAAGCAGCCAAUCACAUUUUUUUUUUUUUUUUUUGCAUUUCCCUGUUGAUUCCUUAACAACCAUGUGAGGUUGGUUUUAUCAGGCUCCUUAAGUGAUGUGUCCACAGUCACGUAGCUUGCAAGUGGCAGAGCCGGGCCAAGUCUGUCUGCCUGUAAAUAAGAUCUUUCCAGCAAACCACAAUGCCCUCAGGCCUGACCCAGCUGCAUUACAUGUAGAGUGGUGUUUGUACAACCGAAAUAGCCGAAUGGUCUAAUUCAGAGGUCACUCUCUGCCCACAGAUGUAUUUAGUUUGGCCCACAGAAUGUUUAUUAAAAGAUUUGUGAAUGCAUUGCCAACAUUUACAAACAAUACACAAAUCUGGAUUUCUAGACUCUCUUGAAAACAGAGCAGGCUAGACAAGACCUCACUCUUUUACCGUGGCUGGGCACAGCAGGGCCAUCUCUGAUAGCGAGGGCUCACAUUCAGCAUGUUGCUGUACUCCCCACUGUCUUCUGUUUGAGCCAUACAUGCCAGGGUUUCAAUUGCUCAUGUUAUUACCUCCUUGUCACGGCCUAAUUACAAGCAAAUAUCCAAGGACAGAUUUAGCCUGUCUUGGGGACUGUCCAUUGGCUGAGCGGACCAUUUGCUAAAAGACUGUCUAUUUAUUAGAGGGACCCUUCUUUCUCUUUUCCCUCUGGCCCAGAAAUGCCUUCUUCUUCUACCUAUAGACCCUCCCUAGACUCUCCUCUUUCUUCACUAGGGUCUCAUGAACUCAUUCAGACACUCUGGCAGCAUUUCUGGGAACAUUUGCGGUAGAGCACUAGUGAGGUGUAUGUUUGUGUGUGCACAUGUGCAUGUGAUGUGUGUAUGUAUGUGUGUGGGGGUUGAGGUCAAUGGAUCAGAGUCUGCCUGGACAAGAGUUCAGUGUUCCACUCUUUUAGAAAAGAAAAAGCUUCUUGUGGAGCUCAUGAUAGUUCCCUUUCGGAAUUUAACAAUGGACAUGAACAUUUGAAGCCUCUGAGAAUUUCUGUAACUCCUAUUUGGUCAUACUUAUCUCAAGCCUCCCUGACCAGCGAAACCACGGUAAGUGUAUCACCUAUUAUAAUCUCCUUUGGACCAUAGUUUUUGCUUGUUUUUCCAAAUAAAAGAACAGGAAAUACACAGAGGCUCAUGGUGUUGGCAAGUCAAGGAGCUAUAUAUAGUAAGUGAAGGCAGGACUGAGAUGCAAACAGUUAAGGAUGGGGGUGGGAAAAGUGGUUUCCAGCCCCCCCCCCCAUGGGGAAGGCAGGUGGGAGAGGCAGUUUCUUGGCCCAUAAACCUCUGGGUCCAAGAGAGAAUGUCUAUAAAUUUAUGGUGCCUGGCACAUGAUGAAAUCUCAAUAUAGCUUUAGAGAUUAAUAUAAUUGCAAUGAACAAAAUAACUUUUUUAAUGAUCUUGAAGAAUGUUUUUGAAAAGGGAAAGACAUUGUGAGGCAGAUGGUUCUAGUGCAGGAAACCCAGGCCAGGCUUCCCUGCCUGGGUCACGAGGGGGGGGGUAGAUGACGGACUGUGUGUGUAUCAGCAGUCAGUCUUGAACUUCAGCGUGCAUGAAAACCACCUGGGAGUCUCGGUAAAGGUAUAGAUCCCAUCCCCACUUCCAGAGAACCUGACUCAACAAGUGUGGGGUAGGGCUCAGGAGUAACAUUUUUAGCCAGCACAUCAGAGGAUUCUGUGCAGGUGAUGCUGCAAGUUCUCUUUGAACAUACUGCUAAAUAAAAGGAAAAUAAAACUGGAAGGAUGGGAGGAAGUGGGGUGGUUACUUACAGAGCUGAAGACACAUGACUUGGUAUGAAAGUUGAAGCCUGAACCAACCCAUGAUAAAAGAAAGAAAGUGGCAAGAAAGUGCCAUAGAUUGACCAUGAGGCUCAGAUAGGGCUGUCUGACUGGGAAUUAUGUGUAUAACCCUCAUCAACAACCAACUGCAGGAAAUAUAAUGGGUUAGCUGAGGGUAAGAGACUAUGCAGUACGGGAACAGGUAUCGGGGUGUAUAUGGAGCCCUGGUAAUGGGGAAGGUUUGAUUCAACACUGAGAGGGAAGAAGGGGGCUCUGGGGUUUCUGAGACUUUGUGGAACCUUUCAGAAGUUAGGCUGCUGUGUCAUAAUGCCUAGCGACCUCUCUUUGUCAUGCUGGGCCUUGUAUUCCAGGUAAUGUUCAGGUGAUUCAAGCUAAGGGAAUACAAGUCCAGAUAGAAGGAUGUCAGAAAGUCUCAGAAAUGAGGUCUCUGGGAACGAGAAAGGACAGAAUACCCGUGAUGGAACACUUGAGGAGUGAACAAACAACAAACAGCAACAGGCCUCCCUCCGAACAUGAAGACACUAUCAUAGACCAAGAGUAAAGAGAAAGCAAAGGCAACUAGAAACUCCAGGAAUAACAAUAGGCAUCAUAAGAGAGAAAAUUCAGACCAGUACACUAUACUUAUACUGCACUAUAUUUCCAUGAUCAUAACAUUGUAAACACUGAGGGUUGCAUAGCCAAAAAUUAUGACAAUAUUUGAAAUACAGGGAAGUAUCUGGUGGUAUGGAGGAGCUAAGUCAUCAUAUAGGAAUAUAUUAAUAAUAUAUACAAAAUUGAUAUGUCAAGCUAAUUAAGAGACAGCAGAAGACAUGGGAUAUGUAGUGGUAGCCAUCAGAAGAAAGGGCUAAAAAGUUAAAAGUGACCGUAGUAACCAGAGGAACAUGGGUGGGGUGGCAGGAAGGAAUGGCUGCUCACUGCUGGUUUUCAUUCUUUCAAGGCUACUGGAUUUUGUAAAACCAUAUCAUUUUCAUUUACAAUGUUAUUACAGUGUCUGGAAUUGUGCAGUCCCUGGGACCUGUGAGCAUCUGCUGAAGGAUCCUACCACUCGGAGAAAAAACUAGGCUUAGGUCUCUCGUGGUGGCUGUGUCUUCCCUGGGGACAGCCCUGAGUGUGCCUCCAGGACCAAGAACAGAGCAAGGAGCCAGGUCCUGCAGGAUGGUGUAACAAUGGGCCAGCCAGCCAGCGGGGACGGGAAACCAGGGCCCACAGAGCUACUGGCCCUGAGGAGCGGGCCGAGAGGCGCCCCGGGGUCUGAGUGCGGGAGCUUCAAGCUGCUCGCGUCUGCGGGAUCCAGUCGCCGUUUCCCGGCCUUGCUGGCUGCCUCCUUCAAUCCCGUCUGGGCCCCUCGCUCUGAACACCAGAAGAGACCUGGGUCCUCAGAAGGAGGAGCACCGCCCGAGGACACGGGGAACAGGGCCAGAGCCAGGCCUCCUGCCAGCCUCCCACUCCUGCGCCACAGAGCGUCCUGUCCAGGGCUUCUCAGCCUUGAUGCUUGGGCCCUGCAGUGAGCAGAGGUGAGCCCGGGCUGCCGAGGGGUGGGCGCGGGGCCUGGCUGGGCUCCUGGCCGCGCCCUCCAUCUGGAACGGGGAGCCUGAUCUACGGGCUGACACAUCUGCAUCCGCUCUGCGUGGCGGCCCGGUGCGGAGAUGGAUUUUCAGACACAGUCUUCGUCCCUUUCACAGAGAAGGAAACCCGGACCCAGAGAGGGAGGAGGACACUCCUGCUCACACCAAGGCCCAGGCACAAACGUGUCUCCUGACUCUCGCUGUGACGCCCUUUACUUUUGCCUCCUCUGGGCUCUUUCGUUCGCCCCACGAACGUCUGCCGAGCUAGCUCACAGUCUCUCUUAAGUUUUAGGCAUUUGAAGAUGAAUUUAAAAAUUCCCUGUGCUUGGGGACCCCACAGCUGAUGGAAGAGGCAGGUGUCAGUGGCAGUUUAUUACAGCUUGAGGCACUGAGUACCACGCCGAGUUCCAGGCGUCUCGGGAGGCAGGGACACUCUCUGAGCACCAGGGCAAGAGUCACGUUGUCCAGUUAGAGGUCCCCAGAAGGAAGCUUCCUUCCCAAGUACCUGCCUGGAGGUGCCAGGGCAUGCAGCUGGCUAAGGGAAGCCACAGCGAAGGCCUCCCUCUGCACAGGGACACUGCUUAUGAGCCCAUGGGCAGUGCAGGAUGGAAUCCGGGCAGUCCGCUGAGCCAGCCCUUGCUGUUGGCGCCAUCUAGUGGCUUACUGAACGUCUACUUCGUGCCAGGCUUUGUGCUAGGCCGCAAGGAAGCAAAGGUGCAAAGACAGAGUUCCUCGCCUCACUGACUCACCUAAUGAGGCCAACAGACAUAAAUGACGAUUGCAAUUCAGUGCAACAAACGCUGUGCUGCACUGUGUGCUGGGAGGCAGUGGGGGAACCAAGUGGCCCUGCUCCUGGGAGAACAGAGGAGGGGCGAGCUGUGUGCGCCAGGGAUGGCGAGAGAGUCUCAAGGGUGGAGAACUGCGCCGUGGGGCUUGAAGGAGGAGGAGGAAUAGAGCUACCCGAGCUGGGGUGACUGGGCCCAUUCUGCAGAUGGAGAAACUGAUCUUUGCAAACACACUGCCCUAUGGAGCCAGAUCAUUCUUUCCAACAGCAGAAGCUAAGGAGGAAAAAAGGAAAUAAAAAACAUUGCAAAUCAAGGAGAGCAUUGUCUGGGGCCAGAGAAAGAAAAACACAGCCUUGGCGCUUCCAAAUUGCAGAUGUUCACAUAAAAGUCUCUUUUAUGAUGUACUUCUGGAAUUAGACUCUGCAGAUACCACUGUGUUUAUGGGGAAGGCAUGAGGUGGUGACAACUCUGAGCUGCUUCCUGGG